rnacentral:rRNA from 1 species
GUUAAUAAAAAUUAAAGUCUAUCUCUUCAGAUGUGUACUAUAUUUUUAUUUCCUUCCUUUUGAAAUUACUCCUUACUUUAAAAUAUUUUUAAAUAAGGAACAAAGUAUUUCAAAUCUUUUACUGUGAAGAAAUUAGAGUGUUCAAAGCAGGCGUAACCUAGCCUUUGAAUAUAUUAGCAUGGGAUAAUGAAAUAGGACUUUAGUCCUACUUUCGUUGGUUUCUAGGACUUAAGUA